rnacentral:tRNA from 1 species
GGGGAUAUAGCUCAGAUGGUAGAGCGUUGCGUUCGCAUCGCAAAGGUCACGAGUUCGAAUCUCGUUAUCUCCACCA